CUUUGUCUGUCUUGUCUGUCUGUUAUUCAGAAUGUAAAUUGCCCGCCGGUGUUUCAUACUCAUAUGAUAUUCUUACGUGGGUGCGAAAUACUCGUCGUUGUCAGAAUUUUAUGACAUGACUGGCGACACAUUUGUUUCUUACCAAGUCAUAUUGACUACUUUAGAAAUUUUGCUUGAUUUACGAUUUACAGUAUGACCAUUAUCUACUGAUUUGUUCCCGUUUGUACCAAAAUGCAUGUGUUAAAAAUAUAUAACACAUCUUUGACUUAAGACAUUUAAAACUUUUAUGCCUCGAACUUUUAAAGAAAAGCCACAAUUCAGUACCCUCUAUGGCCUUUAUGGAAAGCACAAACAAAGAAAGAUUUUCUCUGUUGCUUCUUGAACCUGGUGAAAUUUAUUUUGAAGAUUACAGCUGUUUUUGUUACCCAGGUCAAACAACAGAGGUUGAAGCAAUCAAAAGGCAACAAAAAGGAAGAUUAAAAGUUUGUUCUAAGUCUAUAGUAUUUGAUCCAAAAGAUGUCAGUCGUCCAAUUCUAAAA